rnacentral:rRNA from 1 species
AGUGAACGCUGGCGGUAGGCCUAACACAUGCAAGUCGAACGGCAGCACAGUAAGAGCUUGCUCUUACGGGUGGCGAGUGGCGGACGGGUGAGGAAUACAUCGGAAUCUACUUUUUCGUGGGGGAUAACGUAGGGAAACUUACGCUAAUACCGCAUACGACCUACGGGUGAAAGCAGGGGAUCUUCGGACCUUGCGCGAUUGAAUGAGCCGAUGUCGGAUUAGCUAGUUGGCGGGGUAAAGGCCCACCAAGGCGACGAUCCGUAGCUGGUCUGAGAGGAUGAUCGGCCACACUGGAACUGAGACACGGUCCAGACUCCUACGGGAGGCAGCAGUGGGGAAUAUUGGACAAUGGGCGCAAGCCUGAUCCAGCCAUACCGCGUGGGUGAAGAAGGCGUUCGGGUUGUAAAGCCCUUUUGUUGGGAAAGAAAAGCAGCAGGUUAAUACCCCGCUGUUCUGACGGUACCCAAAGAAUAAGCACCGGCUAACUUCGUG